rnacentral:rRNA from 1 species
GGGGAUAACUACUGGAAACGGUAGCUAAUACCGCAUAACGUCGCAAAACCAAAGAGGGGGACCUUCGGGCCUCUUGCCAUCGGAUGUGCCCAGAUGGGAUUAGCUUGUUGGUGGGGUAACGGCUCACCAAGGCGACGAUCCCUAGCUGGUCUGAGAGGAUGACCAGCCACACUGGAACUGAGACACGGUCCAGACUCCUACGGGAGGCAGCAGUGGGGAAUAUUGCACAAUGGGCGCAAGCCUGAUGCAGCCAUGCCGCGUGUAUGAAGAAGGCCUUCGGGUUGUAAAGUACUUUCAGCGGGGAGGAAGGGAGUAAAGUUAAUACCUUUGCUCAUUGACGUUACCCGCAGAAGAAGCACCGGCUAACUCCGUGCCAGCAGCCGCGGUAAUACGGAGGGUGCAAGCGUUAAUCGGAAUUACUGGGCGUAAAGCGCACGCAGGCGGUUUGUUAAGUCAGAUGUGAAAUCCCCGGGCUCAACCUGGGAACUGCAUCUGAUACUGGCAAGCUUGAGUCUCGUAGAGGGGGGUAGAAUUCCAGGUGUAGCGGUGAAAUGCGUAGAGAUCUGGAGGAAUACCGGUGGCGAAGGCGGCCCCCUGGACGAAGACUGACGCUCAGGUGCGAAAGCGUGGGGAGCAAACAGGAUUAGAUACCCU